AUCCAACUGACGAGUCCCAAAUAGGACGAAAUGCUAAUUGUCCUGGAU
rnacentral:hammerhead_ribozyme from 1 species